rnacentral:rRNA from 1 species
CAGAGGGUGCGAGCGUUGUUCGGAAUUACUGGGCGUAAAGCGCGCGCAGGCGGCUUUUUAAGUCCGUUGGUGAAAUGCCGGGGCUCAACCCCGUGCCCGCCAGGGAUACUGGAGAGCUGGAGACGAGUAGAGGCAAGCGGAAUUCCGGGUGUAGCGGUGGAAUGCGUAGAGAUCCGGAAGAACACCGGAGGCGAAGGCGGCUUGCUGGGCUCGGUCUGACGCUGAGGCGCGAAAGCGUGGGGAGCGAACAGGAUUAGAUACCCUGGUAGUCCACGCCGUAAACGAUGGGCACUAGACGCGGGAGGGAUCGACCCCUUCCGUGUCGAAGCUAACGCGAUAAGUGCCCCGCCUGGGGAGUACGGCCGCAAGGCUG